UGGCGGACGGGUGAGUAAUGUCUGGGAAACUGCCCGAUGGAGGGGGAUAACUACUGGAAACGGUAGCUAAUACCGCAUAACGUCGCAAGACCAAAGAGGGGGACCUCCGGGCCUCUUGCCAUCGGAUGUGCCCAGAUGGGAUUAGCUAGUAGGUGGGGUAACGGCUCACCUAGGCGACGAUCCCUAGCUGGUCUGAGAGGAUGACCAGCCACACUGGAACUGAGACACGGUCCAG
rnacentral:rRNA from 1 species